GUUCAACAUCACCAUGUUCUCAAUAGCUCUGCUGCUGCUGUUGGCAGCUGGAUGCUUUAAAUGUGAGCAGUUGACGCAGCCGGCCUCUGUGACUGUGCAGCCCGGUCAACGUCUGACCAUCACCUGUCAGGUGUCUUAUGCUCUUAGCAGCUACUACACAGCAUGGAUCAGACAACCUGCAGGGAAAGGACUGGAAUGGAUUGGAAUGAAAUAUACUGGAGGGUCAUACUACAAAGAUUCACUGAAGAGCAAGUUUAGUAUCGACUUGGAUGCUUCCAGUAAAACAGUGACUCUAAACGGACAGAAUGUGCAGCCUGAGGACACGGCUGUGUAUUACUGUGCAAGAUACCCACAGUAACACAAACCAUCAGUACAACUGAACAAAAACCUCUCAGUGCCUGAACACUUGUUACACAAAGCCACCAGAGGAGGAGUCCUCAGACCACCAAUGAUUCAACACCAGCUCACUGU